ACAGAACCUCCUCAGUCCUACUUGGAAGUCAGGCGGACUGAAAGCAAAGACUUCUCGAACACAAAACAGAGAAGACACUGAGAGAAAAGGUCUCAGAGUCCUGGAUCCAUGUGUUCCGACCCUGAGCUGAGGGAAGAAAGAGCAGGCGUUAAGAGGAGCGAGAUACGAGAGGGUUGCUGGGAGUCCGGAAGUGUCUGUUCUUGUUCAAGUCGUGCCUCUCAUUUUGUGCAGCUCUGGGCUAAUCACUUUUCCUUACAGCUGUUCCUUCUUAGUAAAACUUCUUAGUAAAGCUGUUACUUCUUAGUAAAAGGUCUUCUAGGAGGAUCUCAGAGGCCUUUUAAAGCCCAGAACUCUGGGGCUGGGGAUUUAGCUCAGAGGCACAGCGCCUGCCUGGCAAGCGCAAGUUCGUGAGUUUGAUUCCUAGUACUGGAAGGAAAACAAAAAAACAAAACACAACAACAAAAAAAUAAAGCCCAGAAUUCUGAUUUCUGAACUCAAAUUAAGCCCUGCCUGGGCUGUCAGGAUUUGGAGUGCUGGAAUGUGCCUGAAUAUUGGAAGAAAUCCAGAAAAGACUGGCCUCAAAAAAAGGAGAAACUAGAGGAGCUACCUAUAGCCCUCACAGCCCCAGAAUGGCAGAGCCCAGGGCUUCUUCAGGAAAAUCAAACCUCGACCCACUUCUGCCUGCCCAUUCUGGCUUCCUUCAGAGGCCUUCGGAGGGAAUCAGCUCUUCCAGGCCAUCUUGUGCAUCCCUCUGCCUCUGUGCUGGCCUCUGUGUGCCCCGUCCCAGGAGAUCCAAGACUGGGAAGGAGGCCCUUUCCCACCACCCGAUCCUGGCAGGUCCUAGUCACCUGGCAGUCUUCAUUCUCCCAGUUCUCUGGGUGAUCUCCCAGGCAGGUAUGUGUCCCACCCUUGCCCAUGCCCUCCUUUUGUUCUUGCACUUGCACUCGCGGCGCACUCUGCCUUCUCAGCCUGCCCCAAGCAUCCCACCUCUCUCGAUGUCCUGCCUGUCUUCCCACUGCUGCUUGGCACCAAACACGAUCAUCAGCAGGAGGCCGGCAGUCGCUCCCAUCUCCUCUGGCCUCUCCCACUAUAUCUCUCCUUGAUGCCUUGUCACUGACUGUAAAUGAGCCCCCCAAGGUCUGACAGAGAAAAUGCCAUUCUAGAAAGAGAGACAAAGAUCCUUGUGAUUUGUGAUUAUAGAGAGCAGGUCGUGCACCAGCAGACUGACCCGAAGGCAAUUGCUUCCUUUCAUGUUCUGCUACAACACUGGAAAGAGAAAAUCUCCAACAAACCAAGCUGAACAUUGUGGACCCCAGAGACCAAGACAGUGGCCAGCCCUGUGCUGGACAACUGCCUUAUGGAGUGCUUUGAAGCACCUUAGGGCUUCGCCUCUGCCUUGGGGCCUCAGUUUCCUCUCUACCUCCAUGGCCCACACAGCGAACGCUCCUGUGCCUAAGGAGUUGAGGACUGCUUGGGCAGUUAGCAUGGAGAAAGGAGCUGCUGGGUUGUGGCUGCCCUCUUUGUUCAUAAUUAUGGAUGGCCAUGUUCCAGCUGUUCCCUGGGGACUGCACAUUCAUUUAAUUAAAAGUUUCUGACUAGAAGAUACUAUAUCCCCCCUUUCUCUGUUCUCUACAUAGAAUAUUCCAGUUCCUUCAGAAUUAGCCAUGGCAGGGCUUCAGCCCACAUGUCCCGGUCCCACCUGACCUCCUGUCACCCAUCUCACUUGCAGAGAACAGUCAGGAGGUGGAGCAGCAGGCAGCACAUGGCAAUGCCGCUCAGCACAUGUGAGGCAACAGUGUCGUUCAGAGAUGUCCCUGCUGCAACAACUUUCCCCCAGCACUGAGGCCUGAGGGGAGCACAGCCAAGGACAGCCUGAAGAUUAAGUGCAUUCACAUACAUAAAACUUCACACAGUAUCUUCUACAUAGUAAGCAAUGGAUGAGUUUUUGCUAUUACUGUCAGUAACAGAGGCACCUGGCUCUGGUUUGGUCAGAUCCCAGCUGAUGGCAGUGACUCUAGUGGUGUGAGAUCCUCUGUCUGGUGCCUGGCAAGAGGCGGGGGUAGCCAGCAGCACAGUUCAGUGGGGUUGCCAAGCUGGUUACUAAUUUGCAAGGCUGCUUUCAUGGACCUCACCCCUCAUGUAUGGGGACAUAUCAAUACAAUGGACUUCCUGCCCUAGAAAUAGAAAUGAAUUAAGCUGGGCAUUGUGCCGCACACCUGCAAUCCCAGCACUUGAGAGGCUGAGGAUCUCAAGUUCAAUGCCAUCCUGAAAUAUACAGUGAGACCCCGUCAGAGAGAGAGAGAGGGGAGAGGAAUGUGACAUGGUGGCUACCUUUAGUCAUGGCGCUUACAGCCAAAGGUCUUCAGUGACAGGCCCAGACUUGAAGUGACUGUCCCAGGCUCUCCAUGAGAGCACUGAGGUCCAGCUCCAGGCUCUACCCACAGCACAGGCUGGGGCUGGCACUGCAAAUGAGUUGUGGCUGUCACCGAGGAGGAACUGGCAGCACACACAGCAGACUAUGUUUUCUUUGCAGUCUGAAGGUAACUAGAGGAAGCUGAGAAUUCCUCUCCUCUGCUGGGGGAGGAGGGAACAAGAGGAGGAGAGGAGAGGGGAGGCCAGUGGCUGUCCCUCCAAGGAGGGAAAUGGGAAUCCCAGCAGCUCCUAGGACCAGCAAGCAGUGCAGACUGAAGAUGGAACUCCUAAGGCCGGAGGGUGCCUUGAGAUGCCAGGAGCCUCGGUCUCCCGGCUGGAACUGUUCAGGGGGCAGCGUGGUAGCAGCCAGCACUUAGUAAACAUUCACUGUGUGCCAGGCACUGGACUCAGAGCUUGGCUGCACUAUGAAGGCAGGUUGUUCAGGGGCCUGGGAACAAUGGCCUCAGCAACACAGGACCGGGUGCAGCUCUCCAACUUUGUGACUCACUAGCUCUGUGAUCUUGAGUGAGUCACUUAACCUCUCUGUGCCUUAGUUACUUCAUUAAUAAAAUAGGAAUGCUGGUACUACCCAUCUGGGAGCUUGAAGAUUAAGUGCAUUCCCAUGUAUAAAGCUGAGCACAGUAUCUACCAUGUAGUAAGCAGCAGACAAGUUUUUGCUAUUACUGUUUUGUUGAAAUCUCGCGUAACUGUCUGCAGGAGAUAUUAUUAAUCCCUGAGGCUCAAGGAAGCUGAAUGACUUGCCAUGGUCCCCGGGGCCGUCUGACGGACAGAGUAUGAGUGCUCUCCUAAGUACCGCUUGAGGUCUCUCUUUAGGAAGAAGCAGCCGCAGUGCCAUUCUAGUUUGGAAACUCCACAGCCUCUUCAUCGGCGCCAAGAACUAAGGUGGACCUCUACCAUGUCUCUGAGGCCUGGCUUGCCCUGUGGGGACAUCCUGGCUGGUGGCACCAAGCACAAGGUCCCUCCCACCCCCCGACUCCAGAAACCCAUAGAACAGGGAGCCUCCCAGGGGCCUCAUCGCCGUCACAAUCCCCGGGGCCUCCCCUGGGACUUCCACCUCCCAUCACAGUGUCCCCCUCACAGUGUCCCCCUCACGGGAUGCUGGAUGCCCAGGCUGGAGGGACCCUUUCAAUUUGAGGAUAAACAGACUGACAUUCUGGCCCAGCCCUCCGCCACUUGCUGCUCCCCGCCCCCCUCCAUCCGCAGUGCACAGCGCUCUGUUCUCCUGCCAACUUGGCAGCUUGUCGCUGCUGUUACUAUCAACACCUCCGAGGGAAAAGGAAGAGGAGUCAGCUCCGAUCGCCUGGCACACUGAGCAGCAAAUUUGUGUCAGAGGCAGCGCUGGAAUGUCUCCCAAGCUCCCAAGGCUCCUGCGGGGGAAAGAAAGGUGGGUUUCUGGUUGCAGAGGACGGAUGGAGCCGGAGAGUGGCCCUGGUCUGAUCAGAGCAGCCCCGGUUGCAAAGAGUCUCCUAACAGAGGUGCUGGCCUGGGCCGAAGCUGCCUCCCCUCAUAGCAGGUGGCUGUGAUAGAAGGAGCCAAGGGGAGGCUGUUUCUGGAACCCUGUGGGCCUGCAGGAUGGGGAGGGGAGUCCCAGUCUCACCCCAGCUCUUGCCACAGUCCACGUAAGUAAGUAGAUAGCUUCCACUCCCGGGAUGGUCGGUCAGGGCUCUGUGGUCAAGGUAGGAAAAACAGGUUUUUCCUUGUUCAGAUUGUGAGCUCCUGGAAUGUAUGCACUGUGUCUUUCCUUCAUCUUUUUUGAACUUCCUGUGUGCAGAGCCCUUGUCUCCCUCCUGGGUUGGAUUUGGAGCCCUUAAGGGACCACACUUUCUCCACCAAAUGGAAACUUCCCACAGACAAACAACCUUGUCCUUUUCCCACCCCCUCCCCCAGCCUCUAGGGCCCAGGCCAUUGGCUCCACAAGGCAGCAGAUGCACUUCUCUGGCUCCUGCUACAACUCGGGGGAUCCAGUUGGGAAUAACAGAGAACCUGCAUCUUCAAGGACCCAGUGCCCAGCCCUGUGGGAUCACCUUGCAGCCCUCCCAGGAUGAAUGCCUUCCCAGCUUCUCAUAGUUUGUCAAGGGAACAUCUGUGCUUCCAGCCCCAGGGCCUUGGUAUCAGUGGUGGGCCUAGGAGGAGCUUCCCAGUCCUUAUGCUGACUUCCCAUUGGUCUGCUCAAGGAUGUGUUCCUAAGGUCUUACCUGGCUGCUACCAGGCUGAUUCCUUCUCUAAUAUGCAGAGAACCUUGGUGCCCUCCGGGGUGCACCUGCGAUGCCUGUAUGCUCACUGGGCGGUGCCUUACAUUUGAAAUCCAUGUUUCCCCCUCUCUCCUUCCUUUCAUCUUUUUUUCCCCUCAUUCUUCUCCCCACUCCCUCCAGAAACCUUUCUCUCAGACAUGAAACUGAUCCUAAGACCUUCUGUAUUCCCAGAUUCAGAAGUCUAAAAAUCCCCAAACCCUGCACUUGUAUCCAUCCCCAGAAAGCCUGCAACCUGUUCAGGGCCCAGAAACCAAGAAGGAGAAUUCAUUCUGUGAGCUGGGAUGUAAAUAAGCCAUGAGAGGCUGCACCACUCCGGGCUGCACCUGUGAACGCCCCUUAGCUGAAGCCCUGUCAGCGUUUCCAUGACAAACCCAUAUUUCCGGAUGCCUCUCAUCCAGCUUGAAGAGCCUGCCUCGUGGUGAGACUUGCCACUGAAAAUGCAUUCGUAUUUUUCCCCUAAAAAAUAGUGCAUGCUCUACAAAAUCCACCUGCUCAUUAUACAUGUUUGCUCUUCAUUCUGGGAGUUUUGUGCCUAUGACGUUUGUAUGGGGUAAAUGCAGGCGGGUGAUACACCCUUGGGAAGUUCUGUGGUGAAGACCUAUCAAAGCAAAUAUAGCCACCCCAUAGGGCAUAAGCUAUCUUCCUUCCCCCAAACAUCUCCCACCUCCAUCUGCCUGCCUUAAAGCCUGACAUUCCACCAUUAUAAAUUUGCUACUUUUGACUUUGAAGGAUCACCCAUCUCUGAGAGUCCACUGUGCCAUGCGCCAGCCUCUAGAAGGGGCUAACACCUGAAGCCCACCAGCUCCUAUCUGACAUGGGGUUUGCAGAAGGACUACAAGGCGUCACAAAGGAUGACCACAGGGCAGAAAGAGCCCUCAAAGAGGAGAAUGGUAUUCUAGACUUAUUACCUAUUUUACAGAUGUUCUAGGUCUGCGUGUAAGAGGAUAUGUGCGCAACGCACGCAUGCGCGUGUGCACAAAUACACACAGAGCACUCUUUAAGUAGAACAGUUGCGCCAGGACCUAAGUGGCCUUCAGAUUCACCUGGGGUGCUUCCAAAAGUUUCAAUUCCCAGGCCCUGCCCUAGGCAUACUGAAUCAUCUUUUCCAGAGCUGGAGCUGACCCCAGAAUUUAGCAUUUUAAAGCAGCAUCCAGCUGAGGAUGUAGCUCAGUGGCACUGUGCCUGUCUGGCAAGCAAGAGGUCCUGAGUUCAAUUCCUGGUACCAAAAAAAAAAAAAAGCAGCAUCCAGGUGAUGCAGAAGAUCAGCCAGGCUUUGAAACCACUGAUAUAGCAAAAUAGAUCAGUAGUGAGAAAAGAGAAUACCCAAAUACCACUGAUGGAGCCCCUCAGCACUUCACUCUCUGCAC
ensembl:lincRNA